UACGUAGGCAGCGAGCGUUGUUCGGAGUUACUGGGCGUAAAGGGUGUGUAGGCGGUUGUUUAAGUUUGGUGUGAAAUCUCCCGGCUCAACUGGGAGGGUGCGCCGAAUACUGAAUGACUAGAGUGCGGGAGAGGAAAGUGGAAUUCCUGGUGUAGCGGUGAAAUGCGUAGAUAUCGCUUGGAACGCCGAAGGUGAAAACAGGCUGCUGGGGUUGUGCCGACGCUGAGACACGAAAGCCAGGGGAGCAAACGGG
rnacentral:rRNA from 1 species